rnacentral:rRNA from 2 species
UUUUUAUGAGAGUUUGAUCCUGGCUCAGGACGAACGCUGGCGGCGUGCCUAAUACAUGCAAGUCGUACGCUUCUUUUUCCACCGGAGCUUGCUCCACCGGAAAAAGA